GCGGUUCCAUAUCAUUUCAGCAACGAGUAAUUUUCAUAUAUCUUUAUUUGGAUGAAACCUUGCAUACAAGUCUUUGGGGGAGAAAAACGCCGUUUUGCAUACUUGGUUCGCCAUUUUGAAUCUAGCCUUACUUAUGAGAAGGGCCUAUGAAAAAUGCACAUGAUAUCUUCAAAAAAUUGUAUCUCAAAAACGGUUUGUCCGAUCGGUUUGGUGUCUUCGGCGAAGUUUUAGACAAUUGUUGGUGCUAUAUGGAGAAAAUAUGCACGGUAAAAAAUAUGUUUGGUUUUUGUGAUUUGAACUAAAAUAUAGAUUUUCCCUCAAAAGUGACAUGUCAAUAUUUUUUUUAUUAUCCUUAUGUUAUAGCUGACUGAAAAUGCUACCUAGUGCACAGUGGGUUGUUCUGGAGAAAAAUAGGUUACAAUGAAAAAAAAAUGUUUUAAAAAAUUACGGUUUUCAAAAAUAGCUAUUAAGUAAAGUCAAAAAAGUUUGUCGCCCUAAUUUUAUGAAAGUACAUCAAAUUUGCAAGAAAAAAGUACUUCGGUAACAUUUUUCUAAGAUGCACCGUUUAGAAGAUAUUACUAAUUUAAUAUUGAUUUUUUUGAUAACUUAAUAAGUUUUAGCCCUUUUCGGAUGUACUCCGUGUUUCUCCAGUUUCAAAAGUAUUUUUUUCGGAAAGAUUGGAAAAUUUUGAGUUAAAAUGACACUGACAGCUUAAAGAUUUGAGUUAAAUUCUCUGCCUUAAAAGUAUUUUGAAACAAGUUACAAAAUCCCACUAUCAAGAACAAUGAUUUCUUCCAGUGGUUUUUGGUGCCUUCUGCUGAAAACGUGCUAAUAAGUAUUAGAUACAGUUGGUGAUUGUCAACAUGGUCUUUGUUGGAACUAGUCCACCAUGGCCACGCUGGCCCAGGCUUGUAAACAUUCGACACUUUUCACUGCCUUCGUUUCGUUGUCGCGGUCGGGUGUCAGCUUGCUUUAUUUCAUUCGAACGCGACUGCUACCUCUUACACACAACACAAGCGGCAGAACAAAGAUCAAUAAACAAAAAAGUGGAUCAAAUCAACGUAGUCUGACACGAUGACAUUAGUAUAAUUCCAGCUUUUCGCAAGAUUUCAGCCAAUUUUGAUUAAAAUUGGUAUAAUAUUAGUAUAAUAUUAGUCACCUUUCAUCAAACUAGACGGCUGCUGACUGAUACCUUAAUCAACAACCGCCGCACUCUUUAUUCAUUCCAGGUAUAUACAAUUUACAAUCUUCUUCAAUAACAAUAUACCUACGCCAGCAAAUCUACCUCGCUCCAACUCUCCAAACUCGUACCUGACGAUACCUGAGCGUUCAACUCUACCUAUCUUCCAGCAGUCUUUACCCAGCAUUCUAUGAUUUAUACCCGUGAGCUGUAUAAUAAUGUCUGACUCGGUUCUGAAUUCAUCCAGUAUCUACUAGGGAAAACCAAACAGUAAAUGCAGAAAGGUUGCUAGAAGCAUAGUGAUUUCAUAGUAAUUUCAGCUAAUAAUCCAGUGUUUUUGAACUAGAUCCAGUGUUGUUUGAUAACAUAAUAAUUGUAAAGGAAAGUGUAACACGUUUUGGUGCAAAGGUAAGUUUUAAAUACACAUUUUAAUUAUAUGUGUUGUGAUAUUUUCGUUCAAAACUAACAAUUGGAAAAUAUUUUCUAUGUUACAGAUUACAAAAUGAGUAAAAUCAGAUGUAUUCGUCCAUUCAAAGACAUUCAGUGUUCGAAAGAGCUACGAUAUCUCACGGAUGGUAUCAUCCAAAAACUAAAGUCAAUUGGAUUUUCCAAGGUAUCCACACUGAACACCAAGGAUUUUCGUAUUUGUUCGUCUUGCCGUCUACAUAUUGAUUCAAGAGCUCACCUCACCCAAAACGAAGAACAGAGCGUAGCCGGUGGCUCAAGGAUGCCAACUGUUCAGACCAUACCUGUUGUACCUGAUUCGCAAAGCUAUGAAAGUUUGGUCACGAUACCAUCAGCGUCAACGCUAAGCACAAUUCAAUCAAAUGAAGACUUCACGAUGCCUGUAGACGUCGAAAUAUUCAACCGAGGAAUAGCAGCUAUUCGUGUUUCGCCUAUAGAUUUAGGUAA